GAGAGUUUGAUCCUGGCUCAGGAUGAACGCUGGCGGCGUGCCUAAUACAUGCAAGUCGAGCGAAUGGAUUAAGAGCUUGCUCUUAUGAAGUUAGCGGCGGACGGGUGAGUAACACGUGGGUAACCUGCCCAUAAGACUGGGAUAACUCCGGGAAACCGGGGCUAAUACCGGAUAACAUUUUGAACCGCAUGGUUCGAAAUUGAAAGGCGGCUUCGGCUGUCACUUAUGGAUGGACCCGCGUCGCAUUAGCUAGUUGGUGAGGUAACGGCUCACCAA
rnacentral:rRNA from 1 species